rnacentral:rRNA from 1 species
GACGAACGCUGGCGGCGUGCUUAACACAUGCAAGUCGAACGGAAAGGCCCUGCUUUUGUGGGGUGCUCGAGUGGCGAACGGGUGAGUAACACGUGAGUAACCUGCCCUUGACUUUGGGAUAACUUCAGGAAGCUGGGGCUAAUACCGUAUAGGAUCUCCUGCUCCAUGGUGGGGGUUGGAAAGUUUCGGCGGUUGGGGAUGGACUCGCGGCUUAUCAGCUUGUUGGUGGGGUAGUGGCUUACCAAGGCUUUGACGGGUAGCCGGCCUGAGAGGGUGACCGGGCACAUGGGGACUGAGAUACGGCGCAGACUCCUACGGGAGGCAGCAGUGGGGAAUAUUGCACAAUGGGCGGAAGCCUGAUGCAGCAACGCCGCGUGCGGGAUGACGGCUUUCGGGUUGUAAACCGCUUUCGCCUGUGACGAAGCGUGAGUGACGGUAAUGGGUAAAGAAGCACCGGCUAACUACGUG